UACAGAGGUGGCAAGCGUUGUUCGGAAUUACUGGGCGUAAAGGGCGCGUAGGCGGUUCGUUAAGUCCUGUGUGAAAGCCCCCGGCUCAACUGGGGAGGGUCACGCGAUACUGAUCGACUCGAAGGCAGGGAGAGGGUAGUGGAAUUUCCCGGUGUAGUGGUGAAAUGCGUAGAUAUCGGGAGGAACACCAGUGGCGAAGGC
rnacentral:rRNA from 1 species